rnacentral:rRNA from 1 species
UACGUAGGGGGCAAGCGUUGUCCGGAUUUAUUGGGCGUAAAGAGCGUGUAGGCGGCCAGAUAGGUCCGUUGUGAAAACUGGAGGCUCAACCUCCAGACGUCGAUGGAAACCGUCUGGCUAGAGUCCGGAAGAGGAGAGUGGAAUUCCUGGUGUAGCGGUGAAAUGCGCAGAUAUCAGGAAGGACACCCGUGGCGAAAGCGGCUCUCUGGGACGGUACUGACGCUGAGACGCGAAAGCGUGGGGAGCGAACAGG